rnacentral:lncRNA from 1 species
AAAGAUGGUGUCUCAGCAUGUGAGUGAAUUAUCUAAUUUGCUGUUAUCUGGGAUUUCAAGUUUAACAUAUCGAAAAUGUGAAUCAAUGUCCGAUUAUUUGGAUUUCAAGUUUAACAUAUCAAUUUCUGUAUUUAACUUUUCUCCAACAAUUAUAUUCUUUGUUCGUAAUUUCCUGCGGAACCCUUGUCUCAAUUUUAGAAUGUUU